GUGUUUGUCUGCGCGUUGUCAGCCAUGUUAGCGCCCUCCUCCAUCUCGACCACUGCUAACUUUAGGACAUGCUUGCUCCAGGCCGGCUGUGAGGACGAAGAGCUUUAAUUCUUUCUAUCCGCUUGAAAGAACAUUACCAAAUUUACACAAUGGAGGCCGUCAAGGCGUUUAACGGCGAGUUGUACUCAUUGAAUGAAUACAAGCCACCUAUCUCCAAAGCCAAGAUGACCCAGAUUACAAAGUCAGCAAUUAAAGCUAUAAAGGUAGGUUUAAAAACAAGGUAACACAACUUUAAGGCCAUCUUUAAGUUCUUCUACUAAUUCCUCAAUUCUCUUAUGUAAUCUUAGAUUUAUACUAGGGGUGUAACGAUUCACCAGUGCCAUGGUUUGGUACAGUUCACAAUACUGGAGCCACGGUAUGGUUCGGUUCUUUUUGCUGUGGGAGCAGGGCUUUUGGUGUGGCACCAGCAAUGUUAAAGAACACUAGAUUCACUUUUGACUUAAUAAUAGCAACAGUUCAGUACUUCCCACACACAGACUUUACUCGGGCGGGCCACACAUGUGCAGUUGAAGUCAGAAUUAUUAGCCCCCUUUCGAGUUUUUUUUUCCUUUUGUAAAUAUUUCCCAAAUAGUGUUUAACAGAGCAAGGAAAUUUUCACAGUAUGUCUGAUAAUAUUGUUUCUUAUGGAGAAAGUCUGAUUUGUUUUAUUUUGGCUAGAAAAAAUAUUUUUAUG
rnacentral:lncRNA from 1 species